rnacentral:piRNA from 1 species
UAGAGUUUUCCUAUGGGACAAUCGGGUGU